CUCUGUCUCUCUCUCUCUCUCUGUGUGGUGAUGCUGUUCAUGAUUUGACGCAGCUAAUCCACACUAUUCCUUUUUUGCUUUCAAACAAGCUCUGAUCUUUGGAGUUCGGCCAACCAGAAAACAAAACAAAAGCUCAGUCCUUUACUCUUCGGAGAGACGCAAAGCUUGAGCUUUCUUCUAGCUUCUUCCAAUAUCCAAACUAGUGGGUUUUCACUCUCUUGCAUGUUUGCUUCUUUUUUUUUCUGCAGCUUGGUGUGGAUUUGUUGUUUGAGUCUGAUCUUAGAGUUUUGGAACCUACUCUUUUGCUUGAGGUUUCCGUUUAUCUGUUUGUUUGCUUUGUUUGUUCCUGUGCUUGAGUUUUUGUGUGGCUGAUCUGCCUGGUAGAUGGAACGUUAGGUUUUCCUUACAAGUUGAUCUUCAUGCAUCGGCUAGAGAAGUGAUUGGAAUACUACUGAAAAUUUCAUGAUAUUCUUCUUUUCUGUAACCAAGUAGUGGUGUUUCGGUAGGAAGAGGUAUCUGGAAGAUUUCCUUUUCAUUAUAGUAUUCUCAAAUCUGUAAAAUAUAUUGGCUUACCCUUGAACCUUUUAUGCAAAAAUUCCUGACUUAAAAGUUUUCAAGCUUCAAAGGAUUUUGCUUACUAUUUAAAAGGAUCGGAAUAACUACAGAUUUUCUUUUUUCUGUAAGUAGACCAGGAAGAGGAAGAGGUAAGUGGAAGAUUUUUCCUUUUCUUUACAGUAGUCUAUUAUCUGUAAAAUUUGACCGUUCCUAAAUAUUGGCUUAAACUCUUAAACCUUAUAUGCAAAAAUUCUUGGUUUAAAGUUUCAAGCUUCAAAGGAUUUUGAUUACUAUUUAAAGCUUAGCAUCCAGAUUGUUCUCAGUCAAGUCUCAAAUUAUUCAAGGCUCUUCUACAUGUAUAGAAUGGCUCUAAGAGUAUCUACACUCCAACAUUAUAAUUUUUCUUGAAGUACUUUCUACUGAUCUGGCUUUCAUAAGUCCAUGAAUUUGAUUUUUCACUGUCAGAUUUCUAUGCAGAUCUGGAGUUUCCAUGAUCACCACCUUUGCAACCCAUAUGUUUGCCCAGUUAUUUGGUCCAUACAAUAUGAUUUAACUCCUUUGAUCUACAAGCUUUAGGUCCUAUGUAUGGAAGGUUACAUAUUGUUGAUGUUGGGGUACAAGAUAAAUUUCUUAUCAGCCUGUCAUCCCUGGUGUACCUUUAAUCCAUGGAGCGAGAUCCCUAUCUUGCAUGUGAUAUUGUGUUCAUUAAUAUCAGGUGGCAGAUUUUGGUUACUAGCUAUGAGAACAAAGUAAAUUGGCUCAGUCCGAGACUUUUUCUUGGUGAAUGGUGAUGCCCUUCGACGUCUGUUUUUGUGCCUGAAGCUAGGUCAAUUAAUUUGUACGAUGAAGUUUUGGUACAUUGAUACUUUUAUAUCAUUUGCGCUUAUUUUAUUUUCUUUUUGUCUUGCAUGUUUUAGGCAUUGACAUGAAAUGUGCUGAACUUGUAUAUGUCAACUUUCUUCAUAAUUGUAUUGUGAUUAGCGGAAAACAUGUUAAUUCGGCUUUUAGCAGUUACUGUAUAAGUGUAUGACUAUGAGCUGAGCUAUCAGUGGUUUUGGAUGACGAAGAGAGGGAGUACACUUGUCAGCAUCCAUGAAAAGGCCAUGGGUGUUUACGGGAGUGCUCCCUCUCUUUGUCAUUAAACUGCACUUGUCCAGGUCUGUCCUUGAUGCUAUGUUCCAUGUAUUUGCAUCUUUGGGAUGUAAACGGGCUGAUAAGCUUAUAACAUUUUGUAAUUUGUCAUUUAUCUUUGUCAAUCAUAUUAUUUAUUCCAGAAUGGUUACCAUUAGCCUUUUUGUUGGUUGAUGUCGUGUUAUGAUAUGGAGAUUAAAUGUUGUUGAAGUAGAGUGGUCAUUGUUCAUGGAUCAAUCUCUUAGUACAUCAACAUGGAUGCGUUAUCUUGUUAAUUACAUUACAGUCACUUGUUUGGAAAACUAAAAUAUUUUGACACAUACCCGUUCAGUGAUUCAAUUUUACAUAAUUAAAUUGUUUUACCUCAAUAAAAUCUGAACUAAUGUAAUUUCAAUAAAAAUUUCUAAAUACUUUUAAUCUUUUUUUCGUUUCUUUUUGUAAGAAUUGUUAAUAGGACUGGAACAUGAGGUGUGGCAGUGAUAUAAGAUGAUUAGAAUAGGCAGAGAUCAACAUUCAGGUUUGAGUCGUAGGAAUGCAAGACAUUCAACAGUGGGCUUUGUUUCACUUGAUCUAUGGAAUUGAUAUUUCACUGCUAACUACAAAUCCAAAUAUUAGAGUUCAUUUGGGCGAAACAAUUGGUAUGCGAUAUUGUACAUGUGAGAACAUAUUUUCUUGCCAAGUUCUUCAAGACUAUUGUGUUGGAUAUACUUAAAUUAUUACAUAUAUACAAGUAAUAAACAGACAGAAAACUGUAUGAAACAGCAUGAUUGCUAAUAUGAUCACAAACAAUGAUGGUCAUGAGCAUGAGGAACAUCAAAGGGAAGUGCUAAUUUGUAUUGGCACUGCUGAAUUGGAGGUUGCGUGUUGAUGUUGUGACUCGAGACUUUCUUGCAUGUUAUACUAUGUUAAUUUCAUGUCGUAGAGACUUUCUUGCGAUACUAUGUUAAUUUCAUGUGGUGGUUUUGGUGACUUUUUUUUUGUCGGCAACUGGUGGGUUUUGGGGACCAGUUGGUCGUACAUUAUAUAGUUGUACAUUUAUGAUCAUGGUUGAUGUGUUAUUCUUGUACUGUUGGUCUUAACUAUGUAUAUCUGUUUAUAUCAACCAAAUAUUGUAUGUCUUUUUUCUUCUAUUGCUUUUGCUUUCUGUUUUCAGCUGUUUGGUACUUUUCUUUUGAUUUUUUGGUUCUUUUCUUUUGAUUUCUCUAGUCUUGCUUGUUUUGGCAGUUGACCAUGUGAAUCAUGCUUUGCAGACUUGUGUCCCUUGUACUGUUAUUUGGCCAUUGCCUUAUUAAUACCCUUCGACCAAAAAAAAAAGAAAAAAAAAGGGUACAGUGGUUCCGGUCUGGGGGUUUCUCUAGGUAUGCACUGCUGUAGUCAUUUUCUUUUGCCUAAAUCUAGGUCAAUUAAUUGGUGAUGAUUGCAGUUUUGGUAUUGGUACUUCUGUAUCAUUUGCUUUCUCCCAUAUUUGUUUAGCUUUGACAUGACAAGUGUGGAAUUUGCCAGCCAAAUUUCUUAAUAAUUUUAUCUCGAUUGUUGAAAACAUUCUAAUCUGGCUCUUUGCCAUUACUGAGGCAAGCUAUGAUUGGAUUUGUUUGACGAUGAGAGAGAGCACGCUUGUCAGCAUCCAUGAAACAUUCAUGAGUGUUUACGGGCGUGCUCCCUCUCAUCGUCAUACAAUCGAUCUAAUCUUGCAAACCUUUCGCAUACAAACUAGCUGAUGAUCAUAAAUUGUGCAAGUUAGUACUUAUAUAUGUCUGUCUCAAUAUUCUUUUCAUAUAGGCUCAUCAUUUUCCUUUUCAUGGUCGGUAUCCUUUUUCUGAUAUAGAGUUUAAAUGUUGAAGAAGUAGAGAACAGUCAGUGGUUAUGAGUUGAUCUCUGAGUAGAUCAUCCACAUGGAUGAGUUCUUUAGUUAUUUGUACUAGUCACUUAUGAAAAAUCAAAAGUUUCUUAACAUUUCUAUGUAGUCAUUUUUUAAGGAAUAGGAACAAAUGACUGGCAGUGGUGAGGUGUGGUGGAUAGUAAUUGAUGAACAAUAGGUCUUAUUUUACUCUUUGUUGGAUUUUUUUUUUAUCUAUUUUAGACUUUCAAGGAAGCCCCAGACGGUUUGUAGAGGUAUUGUCUAGCUCCCAACCACAGAAUUUGUAGUUUCACUUUUGAGAUCCUAAAUAUGUGUGACUAUAUAAGCAUGCAAGACAUUCAAAAAUUGGAUACUUGGUUGAUUAUGAUGCAAUUCAUAUAUCCCUAUUGACUACAAAAACAAGCAUCAGAGUACUUGGUUGUUCAGACUUCAAACAGGUAUGGUGGGCAAUGCAAGGAUACUCCUGCAGCCCAGGAACCCAUGAGUACUUCUACAAGGACGGAAGAAGUGCUAGCUGGCCCUACUUGCCUACAAAUCUUAUGGUAUACACCAUAAAUGUCAAGUUUCAUAACAAUUGGUAAAUAUUAUAGACCUUUGUACUUAUCAUAUAUUUACUAAGUGUCUGUGGUUCAUUAGUGUGUAAAUAUUAUUCUUAGAACUGCAACCAGUGGCCAUAGGUUUGGUAAGAAAGUAACAAAGUUAAAUUCCUGCUUUGCUCAAAUGCCUUGCUAAUUGCUAAUUCAACGACAAAAUGAAUGACUAAAGGUCUGAGACUUUCUUUAUUGAAAAACAAAGAUAUGCUUGUAACUAUCCAGUUGCAUGUUGUUUAUUUUUGGAAUCCUCGAGAUCUUUGACUAAAAUUAGACUCCAAGCUAAGAUAAGGAGAUGUUAUGCUUAUAACUAUCCAAUUACAUAGGAAGUUAUCAAUCUCCUAGGAAGAUCAUAUGUGCAUUUAUACAUAUUGCUUGAAUAUCCUCAGCAAGGAUUGGAAAGUUUUGACAUCUCCAUCGUCAAGUAGUUAAUACUUUGAUUCAUUUACAUAUAGCAGUCACAGAUGUUUUAUAUAAUGCUGACUUGUACUUGCUAAACUUGUUUUUCAAUAUUAUUGUUCUUGACAUAUAGAGGUAUAUGUGAUAUAUGUAAAUUUAAGUUAUAGACUAACAGAAAUAGGUGAUAACAAAAAUAGACUCUUGCCUGAAUUCUCUAAAUAGCUGAAAUUCAUACAGUGAUAUGUAUCUAAUUAUACCUAUAUAAAAGCCCUCUUUCUACCUUAAGGCACGCUUUCUGCCUAGGCGUAGGCUUAAAUGCAGCAAUUGCUCUGGUAAAGUCAUGCAGGCGCAAAAAGUGCACAGUAGGAGGGAAAAGCUUAAGCCUCAGGUGCAGCCAAGGCUCUCUCUUUUUUUUUUUUCUUUUUCUUUUUCUUUUUCCUGAAAAAAUAAAUAAAUAAUCAAAACUUACUGAGUGAUGAAUGCGAUCUCUUCCUUCAGCUACUUCUUCUGGAUGUUUAGUUAGUUAUCUUAAUUAUCUUCUCAUGUCUUUUAUCUUUGGUAGUAAGUCUGCUGUUGUUCGGUUGAUGUAGAACUCAGGCUCCUUGCAAUUAUGCAAGUCUGCUGUAGUUACAAUUUUAUUACAAAAGACUUGCGCAUUUAGAAAACGCUUCUACUUAGUGCCUUUGCCAAAAAAGGCUUGGGUAAGCCUUCUCCUUUUAAAAUUUUGAUUUCAAGUAGUGUUCGUGCUUUAUUUCCACAUGCAUCAGCCAUGCAUAUUUGGAAGCCAAAUUCAAUUCCUGGCAACUCAUGAACAACCAGGGCUAUUACCUAGAUGAACGCGCUGGACCUCAAAUUUAUAUUACAGAGACUUCUAUUUUUGUUUUGGUUAAUGUUAGUAUUUAGGCAAAUCAUUUAUCCUUUAAGUGGGCACAAGUUUUGCUACUAUACCUUAUUUGAAGUCUGGUUUUGCUAUGUACGCUCUAUGUUGCCUAUACUGAUGUCUCAUUUAUGCUUUCUUUUCUGUUCUUAACAGGAGCUUAGUUGAUAAGUCCUUUCACGUUUUGGAUUGAUCCAGUGUUCAUGGGAUUUACAUGGAAAUGUUCCCUAUAAAAUAUUCUUUAGAAGUUGCUAUUCAAGCACAGGAUUGUGAAGUCUAAUCCCAACUAAAACCCAGGCUUAAAGGUCUUGUGUGCAUGCUUGAUGAUUGUCUAAACGGUGGAAGUUUCACAACAGUAAGAAUGUGACAGACAGAGACAAACAUGCCCGGUACAAUACAUAUCACCGACAUUCCAAAUUCAAGGAUUUCAGGCAUACUUGGGACUUUUUCAGCCUUUUUAAGUAUAUUUGCUUCUUGUCUGGUUUUGUGGAUGGCCAUGGGACAGGUUUCCUUUCCAAGCUCGGAUUACAAUCUUGUGAUGGAGUACUGUGUCCAUUGGUUGCCAAACGUCCUUGAGACUAUACCUAGUGCAUCCAAUAGUAUGUUACUGUACAGAUGGGAACACACUAUGGCAUGUAAACAUCUCUCUCUGGAAUCUUAAGUUUUAUUUUCCAAUACUUCGUGUCCCAAAAUAUAUAACUUGAACUCAAAAAGGGAAAAUUCCAUAUCUCCAACCCUUCAAUGCAGAAUAUGAAAAUCCCGAAAUGCAAAAAUCCCAAGUUGUAAAAGUUCAAACACAUUGUAAAAAUCCCAACUUUGAACGUACAAUGGUAAUAGCAGGGGCGUUCGCCCAAGUAAAAUAGGGUUCAUACAACAGACA